CUCAAUGUUGUCAAUGAUGUAUCCAUAUUGGAACUGAAUUUAGGUGAUUUAACCCAUUCGUCACUACCACUGAGACAACAUUGAG
rnacentral:snoRNA from 1 species